AGCACUCAUGUUAUAGUUGAAUGUCAUGAAACUUAGAGAUAAAUGUGUGCAUUUGUGAAGCACCUAUAUUGAAACUUUUGCAUAACCUCAUGAUCUAUUUAUCUCAAGUAGCUAGGACCAAAUUAUGACUCCAUGCCAAGUUUCACUAUUUUCUGAGAACAUUUGAUAUUUAUUUAUUUAUUUUCGGCUUGAAAAGGCAUUUAAAGCAUAUAAAUUAGUAGAUAAUAAAAAAGUGGCAUCUUUACAUGAAGUAAGUUUGUAACUGUUAGAUGAACUAAUGGCACACUUUUUAAGAAAAAACAAUGACAAACGUAAGAAAUAUAGCUCAAGCACUCAUGUUAUAGUUGAAUGUCAUGAAACUUAGAGAUAGAUGUGUCCAUUUGUGAAGCACCUAUAUUGAAACUUUUGCAUAACCUCAUGAUCUAUUUAUCUCAAGUAGCUAGGACCAAAUUAUGACUCCAUGCCAAGUUUCACUAUUUUCUGACAACAUUUGAUAUUUAUUUAUUUAUUUUCAGCUUGAAAAGGCAUUUAAAG
rnacentral:lncRNA from 1 species